GCAGUGAAUGCUGCAUCAUUGGAAUUGUUACCAAUAAAAUCUAGAAAUAAGUAUAACUAUGCAUACAACCGCUUCAUGGACUACCGUACGAAUAAAAAUGUAACUUCUUUCUCGGAAAAUGUUGUAAUGGCAUACUUCUUGGAGCUUGGUUCCAAGAUGAAUUCUUCAACUUUAUGGGCCAAUUGUUCAAUGCUGAAGGCAACCCUUGCAAUUAGACAUGAUGUGGAUAUAUCUGAAUAUUCAAAACUUCGGGCAUUCCUGAAACAACAAGCACAUGCCUAUAAGCCAAAAAAAUCCAAGAUUUUAACUAAAGAAGAAAUAAACAAAUUUAUUCAGGAAGCUCCAGAUAAGGAAUAUUUAAUGAUUAAGGUAGCUGUAAUAUUUGGAAUUUCCGGAGCUUGCAGAAUGGACGAGCUGGUUAAAAUGACUGUACAAGAUAUACAAGACCUACUAUCUAAACUUUUAGUUACCAUACCGGAUUCAAAAACCAAUACAUCAAGAUCAUUUAUAGUAAUAGUUAUUGUCAUACAAAUAAAAUUAUUAGUUUGGAAAAUA